CUCUUUGGGCCCCCUCCUCCUGCUCCCCCUCCCCUCCCUGCAGGCCCUGAAUUCCCCUGGCUCUCCUUGUCUCCAUCCCCACCCUGGGCCUUGCAGGAACAGGGAUCCCGGGGCAAACUGGAUGGAGUGGGGUUGGGGGGAGCAGAAGGGAUUUUCCCCUUCAGACUGGGGCAACCAUGGGCUGGGGGGGCUGGGGACACCCGUGUCCCUCCCCCAGCCCCACAGGGGCCAAUCCUGCUUAAACCUUUGCUCUCCUUCCCCAGCCAAUCUCGGGACAAGGAGGAGGUGGAUGUGUUGGGGGAGGCAUGGAUGUCCAUCGAGUGAAGAGGUCUGAGCCCCCCGUGGCUG